ACCUGUGAAAUGAACCAGACAGACUCAAGUCAGAAAGAUAAAAUCCACUCUUACUCACAGUUUCAAGUGAAACAUGAUUUAGAUUUCUAAAACUUUGUAUCCCAAAAGUCUCGGAGUACAUUUUUCAGCUUAAACAAGAGCUCUUCCCUCUACUUCCAGGUCCUCUUAGCCUUUCUUGAAAGAAAAGACAGACUUCUGUGGCCUAGAGCAAGAGUCUCUCAAGCUGCAGAGAGCUGAAGAAUUAGAGUGAGGAUAGUUACAAGCCUUGUGCCGUGUAGGUGUUACUGAGUAAGUGCUGUAACAUGCACACUUCAAACACUUUAUUGCAGUUGGAGCCUUUGUCCACAUUUCCAUCCUAGAGAACUGCUGGGCUGCCAACGUUAGAGAUGGGUAAGAUGAAACACAUUGAGAGGCUUGCUCAGGGUCAUGUACUGGGCCACUGACAGUGUCACUGAACUCCUUUUAGGAACGUUCCCACAGAAGGCCAACUUGUCCAGCUGUGAAAUGGGAGCACUGAAACCAAUAUUCACAGAUAACCAGAGGCUUGGGCUGGCCCCAAACCAGACAUGGCCACGCAGAAGUCUCAGUUCCUACAUCCCACCUCAAAGCAUUCAGAUGGACAGCUUGCAUUUCUGUGGCACCAAGUCCAUUGCAACACCCCAACUUGUGUGGCUGAGAUAAAAGCUCAUCUGUAACUUUUGGGCAAGUCUGGGUGCAGCACUGGCCCAGAGCACACACCUCCCUCCCCACGUGUCAGGCGAGCACCAUCCAGCCAAAACUUAAGUUAAACAACUAAUGCCUCAAUAAAAGUUAUAUUAGAGAAAUCCUUGGUUUUUAUACAUAAAAACGUGAUGGUAGUGAUCACUCAAAAUGUUAUGGGCACAGAGGAAAUCACAGGGACUUCCAAACCAAGUAUCCACUAGCAAGUGUCCCAUUAGCUUUGAAUAUAAAACCUGCAUUUCAAAGCGACUGGAAUUCCUGCAAGGAGCUGUUGAAAUGAAAGGAGUCACCUGGGGGCACUGCAGAGCACAGAACGAAGAUGUUACUGUGUCCCUUUGACUAACGCUCCGAUUAAACCAGACCUGCAAUGAGGCUGUGAGCUGAUGGCAAUCCUUACAACAGGACAGAAGUGUCACAGUCGCUUCAGGUUUCCUCAAGUUCUCUUGAAAGCCAACAGCUUCCUCAUGUUCCUAGAAUUCAUAUUCUGCACUCUCCCCUCCAGUUCUGUCCCCCUGCAUAUCUGUCCACACAGGACAGGCAAGAAUUCUUGUUCACAGCAGGCCAAGACAGCAGCUGCCAGAAGCAAUGUUUCACAUCACUGAUUCCAGUCUACUUCAGGAACGUGAGAAAAGAGGGGGAUAAAAUCAGCAGUGAACACACCUGCAGGUCAACAGUAGCUAACUUUUAAAAAGAGAUCAUGAUGUGCUCACUACAUUCCUCCUCUCCUGGCUUGACAGUCAUUUACGUUUCACUUGAGUAUAUUCCUUGGCCAAUUAUAUGUUUCCAAAAGUUUGGAUUUCAGAUUGGUGCAAGGUAACUUCCAAACUCUAUCCAGAUAAUAAACAGUUAAAAGUAUAAAGCAACUUUAAUUGUCUACAUGCAAUGUAAUAUCCUCCCCUCAAACUUUAAACACACACAGUGAGGAAGAGUGGCACAAUUUUAAGAACUUGCUAUAGAUCAAUGAAAUAAGGCCAAGAAGAGCUGUCUCAUCAAUUACAAUAGGAGCUCUCUUGUCACUGUCAUAUCACUCUUUGAAAUCCAGACACUAAGAUUCAUAAUGGAGAUAGGCAUGAAAGGUUAGACAGGAAUUUUAAUUCACAGUUGAUGAAAAUUGUUUCCAAUAAGCCCAGAAGGGAUGGGCAGGAGACAAAAGGUUCCAUUAGAGAUCUUAGAGCUACAGAGCUGUGAUUUAACUCCGCUCAUCUGCCUUCUUCCUGUCUCGUUAUCUGACACUAUGGCAAUAUCUUUGAAGCCCAGCUGCAUCACAUGCACCUUUCUCAAGCUGGAUGGGCUGCCACUUUGAACUGUAUUUCAUCUCUCCUUUGUGAACCCCUGUGAUCUGAUCAGGUCUCCCAGGUAACAAAAGCACAUGAAUUAUCCCUGGAUCGUUCAAGCCCAGCUACAUUGAAAUGUAUUUUGCAGUUUCAUUAACAAAACAACUUUGUUUGCAGCAUGAGUAGCAAAACACUUGAAAGAAACACAUUGUCAGCAGCAGGUGUGCUUGUCACUAGCCCGUUCACACAGAUCAGCAGCUAAGCUGCUUGUUUGGUGUACAGGCUCCUGAUCCAUAAACACUGAGACAAUUUUGGCUGCAGGGAUGUGAGGGUUUAUAUUUAUGCACACGUACAGUUUAAAGGAUGGCCUUGAGGCUCAUGUAAGCAUGACAAACAGUGAAGGCUGUAACACAUAUCUACCCUUGAUAUGAGACAAUCAUUCCCACACAUCCACAGCUCCUUCUCUAACGUGGGCUGGUCACUGAUACACUCUCAAGUAUUUGAAAAACCCACACUGAUAAAUCCUGGAGAAAAGCUUUCACCAAGGAAUUCCUACAGCCAGCAGCCACUACUGAAGGAUAAUUUACAGGCAAAGCACUGAAAAGGCCAGGCUAUGCCUCACAGCUCCCAAAUUUGCUGAGAUUUGCUGUAUCUGUACAUGGCAGAGAAGGGAUAAAUCACUUCAGUUUCAUCACAGCAACUUGUUAAAGUUGCCAUAUCCUGGCCAGUGAUGCACCAGGGAAUGGCAACAGCUUUCUGUUGUAACCUCAGAAGCAGGACAAGAAGAAAUGAGAAACACUAUAAGGUCAGGAGAUAAGGCACUGACUUGAAAUUUUGCAAUGAGGGAAAAGGAACAAGUUUAGGUCCUUUAAUGCAAUAAAGGAAAGACCAAGAGGAUUUCAAUGCUUACAAGGCAGAGGCUUCUCUAAAAACAAACUGGCAUCUGCCAGCACAUGAGGUAAGGGUCUGAUGCUAAAAGAUGCUGCAGCUAAUGGAUUUGGGAAGAAAAAUAGAACAGCCUAAUCCAAACUCCUUACACUGGAGAAAGUCAUUACAACAGAUUCUGAAAAGGGGGACAUGCAGCAGAGGGGAGGGGACAAAUUCCCUGAUGUGACUUCCACCAUGGAUGUGGAGAAGCAGCAGCAUCCUGAGUCUGAUCUUCGAGGUUUAUGGUACAAAGAGACAGCUGGCACAAGGAGUACUUCUAGAGGAAUGCCAGGGAGUUUAGCCUGCUUGGACUUGAGAAGAACAAAUCAGCAGGAGUUUGGUGAGAUUUGAAGAUGGGACUCUGACUUAAAGACCCAUGGGAGUCAGUAAUGAGAACUCAAGAGAGAGCCAAUGUCCAAAACAAGAGGACAAAAGCUUUCAACAAGCUGCCUUUUCUGUACCCAGCUUUUGAAAAAUUCUUUCAUCUUAGAUACCCUAAGAAGAUGCAGUGUUCUUAUGAGUAAAUAGUUCUGAUGGGAACUAAAGAAAUAAAACUGUAAAAAUCCCAAGUGGUGGCCAUAUGCACAUAAUGAAAACUAUUAGAAAAACAAGAAAUUUACCGUAAUCAUUGGCACAAUGUAACGCCAGUUUUUGUUCAGGCUUCCAAUGUGGCUCAUCUCCUCUUCUGUGAGGCUGAAGUCAAACACCUGAGAACAAAAACCAGAGGCUUUACUCAAUAACCAUAGGUUGUCAUCAGUUUGUUUUAUACUAAUAAAUAUGAAAUUGCAAUGAAACUCACAACAAUCACCAAAGCAAAGGGUUAAAGUCUGAGCUGUUCACACAGCUUCCAGCUCUAAGCUUACACUGGUACUGCACAGUGCUCUGCCACUAAGGUAGAAAGCACUGGGACUGUUUCUCACAGUAAGUGCUGCCUAUUCAAUAAAUAUUCUGUUUCCAUGUAGAUCUAAACCUCAAGCAACUGCAGAAUUUAUUGGAAUUUGUUGAGAUUUCUAGUAGCACACUACAUGACAGAUUUUGGAUUAAUGGGAGUAACAGUUACAUGAACAACUCCUUACUUCAAAACAAGUAUGUAACCAGGCAAUCUUUAUGAAAAAAGAUCCAAGGAGGUGAUUCAGAAACAUCCCUCAAGAUUAUUUAAAGUCAGGGUUUUCAAAUAAUUUCUGAAGUCUACUUCAGAGCAGAAGUGAACCACACCUACUCCUUCAGCAUCACCAGAAUGGCAGUUUGCUGGAGAGGUAGUCACCAGCCCUCACUUGCAGGAUAGAGCAACUACUACUCAUAAAUAAGAGUCACUGAGCAUAGUUAAAAGACUCCCUAUUUCAAUAAAUUUGUGUCUCAAAAAAACUUAAGUACAGAUUUUUCAUUUAGACCUCUACAAAGUACAUUCUUUACCUUCUGAUAACAAGACUGUGCAUGUGCACAUUGCACACACACACUGAGUUGCUUAAAACACAUCCUUUGUUUUCAAAAACCAUCUUUACCCUCCCUCCCCAGCGUGUGCAUACAUCGAUGAACAAGUAUGAACCAAGUGCCUCAGCUUGCUGCUCUGCAAGUUGUAGGACAGCACAGCAAUUACUCACAUGAAAAGGGCAUUUCUGAAACUCCUCUCCUCCAUUUCAGCUUACCUGCAGAUUCUGCUGAAUGCGAGCAGGAGUGACACUCUUGGGAAUGACAACCACUUUACGCUGCACUUGCCAUCUGCAAGAGGAGAUUUUGCCUUCAGUACAUUCUACAAGGAAGUCUUUGAAGAUAGCAGAUAUUCCAAAGAAGUGACUCCCAAUGACUUCCAAGGAAACCCAGAGAAGAUAAGUGGAUCCUGUGUGUGGUUCAGCUGCCAGCAGCACUGCUGAUUAUGGCAAAAUCCGACUGAAUCAGGUUUAAAUUAUGCACUAACAGGAUCUGUCCUGGUUCCUUUCUAAGGCCACACAUUUCUCAGAACAAUUAGUUCACAGAAUAAACAACACAUUCACAUUUUGUUUGUUUAGUUUCAGAUAUUUGCUUUAGACAAAGCAUAUUUAACUGUUUUGAGUGGACAGAAAUUCAUCCAUUAAGUUUGUGCAUGUUAACAAACUUAAUUCAGCUGUCAUUUGAUGUUUUAAGUGGCAAAGCUGCACAUUCACCAUUUUCCUCAUUUAAGAGGUUGACUGAGCUCUCACACCAACUCAGCUUCCACAUUAGUACAACUUCUAUUCCCAACAGAUCCACUGUCCUGACAGUUGUUUGGACAGGAAAACCCACAGUAAAAUGGCUCUGAAUAGAUUUAAUUUUCUUAGCUUGUUUCCCACCUUUUCCUCUAGCUGGCAUGAGAGAAUUGCAUGUCCUGAGAAAAGUUUUAACUUUCCCUCUCAGUCAUGAGAACAAUUCAUCCAAGAUACUCCCAACAACAUCAUAAAGCUCACCCAGGAGUAGCAGUGAGACAUCCAUUUACUGCACAGUGAUGUGCAUAACCCAGAGGAGCUGUGGAUGCCCCAUCCCUGGAAAUGUUCGAGGCCAGGGUGGAUUGACCUCUGAGCAGCCUGGUCUAGUGGAAGGGUCUCCCUGCCCACAGCAAGGAAUUGGAACUAAAUGGCCUUUAAAGUCUUUUCCAACCCAAACUGUUCUGUGAUUCCACAAUUCUUUGAAUGCCAUUUAGGAAUUCCACCAAGCACUGGACAUUACCUUUCACAGGAAGUACAUACAAUUUCUUCCCCAAAAAAAUUGUAUUUUUUAACUAAAUGAAAGAGAUACUAAAAGACAGACAAAGGGGAGAAGCAUUACAAUAGCAGGCACACCAUGGAGCACACAAACAUUCCCACAGGCUGUUUGUAGUAACAAGAGAAUUGUUUCCAAGUGUGAUGUUUGCCAAUUCCCUGCAUUCAGAAGCAGAGUGAAUGUCUACUGAUACAUGAGUCUUCUUAUUCUGAAAGCAGGCUGACCCAAGCAAGUUCUUUGUUUUCCUGCUAACCAUUGGCUGGCUGCUGGAACAGGACUUAUUACAAGAACAACUUGAGCUUCUGCCUCCCAAAAUAAUGCUUUCUGCCGAGUCAUCAGCCUAAGCCAGAGGGGUGUCUGCUCAGACUGGCAGCCUGAGGACUUGCCAGUGGAAGAGUGCAGCACCAUGUUAUAGAAACACCAUCCACUGAUCUUCUUCUGGGUUUAUGUCCCAGAGCUCCACUGCCCAAGGCCAGGGCUAACAAGGCUGAAGGGAUCUUCCUUUCUGGAAGGAUCUGCUGUCUUUGUGCCUUAGGCCCUAGUCAGGAAAAUACACACAUACAUGCAUUCAACUUCAAUGAACUCAAGACUAGAAUACCUCAAGCAAAGAAAAGAUCCAGGCCUCAGAUCUGGGACCUUCAAAAAAAGUGCACAAACACACACACUAGUUGAGAGCACAAUAUCCUAUUGUUCCUUGCUUACUUGGCCACGGUCACUUUUCCAAGUUCCCAGUCCUACGAGAGGCAUCUUCUGCCCAGUGUGGAGUGUAACGAAGUCGCACGUUGCAGGCAUUUUUGCCUAAAGAAUAAAAAGAACAAAGAGUUUUGCAGCAAUUCUUUAAGCUGCAACCUUUUCUGCUCACAAUGGCAGUUUUUUCAUCAACGAAGGAAGGGUUUACAGCUUGUCCCAACAUCCUCACAAUCUAUGUUUCUGCUCAAACUGUUAAAAAGGAAACUGCAUUCAGGAUAAGCUCCAAAGUUGGCUAGCUGAUUUCAGUUACUUCCCAUGCUCUGUUGCAUCCAAAAUCUUGAAUAUUAUUUGUUUAAAAACAAAAAGCAACAAAAAUAACCAAGAGUGGAAGAAUGCAAUGUUAGUUACAUCUGACUAUGUAGGAGGAAUGGAUGUUUUCAGAGUUCAGCAUCCACAUACCAUACUAUCCCAAAAUAGGUCUGCCUUCUCAGUGUUGUCAUUUUCCUCACAUAAUUAGGUCCCAGCUGAUGGAUGUGUUGACACAGAGUUUAUGUUUUCAAUUUCUUGCUUAGCUUCUCAAGCCAUACUUUUGCAGAUUUAAUAGCAGACACCAGAUAGCACACUUGUUUCUCAGAGAGACAUACAAGAGCAGCUGGAGUGAGACCUGAAGGCCAUUGUACACCAAGGAGCUGGGGAUCCCUCUAACAGUUAACCUGAGUAGGUCCAAGCUCAUCUUGUGCUGCACUUCAUGCCCAGCCUGGUGCUGUGGGAUGCACAAGCUGCAGGAUAAGCUCAGCAGCAACCUGUAACAGGAGUCUGCAGGUAGCUCACUCUUUGUACCUGCAAUUAUGCUACCUAUUCGUCCUGGCCUUUGUCUAAAACUGCAGGAAGUUCUUCUGCAAGCAUCCUUUCUGUCUGACAGCAGAAGUGAUGAAUAAAGGUCUUUUCUUGUAAAAGAAUCCCCAGCAGUUCAAAUGACCAAAACAGGGUAACCCCUGCUAUAGGCAGGGUCUGCACACUGUGCUGUGUGAGAUCUGCUCAAUGCUGCACAAGCUGGGGCUCCCAGCACCUGAAGGGAUGCACAAU